UUGAUUACGUCCCUGCCCUUUGUACACACCGCCCGUCGCUGCCCGGGACUGAGCCAUUUCGAGAAACUUGGGGACCGCUGAUUUCCAGGCUUUCGGGUCUGCUUUUCGGUGGGAACCAAUUUAAUCGCAGUGGCUUGAACCGGGCAAAAGUCGUAACAAGGUAGCUGUAGGUGAACCUGCUGCUGGAUCAUUACACAAACGCCAAAAAUGGUCAACCUUUUACGCAUGUGUUGCACAGAGCACUCACUCUCAUAAGCCUUCUUGGGAGUUGGGGAGUGCGAGUCAUUUGUGUGUCAGUCAAGCAUAGAACGGCACAAACGGCGCCUAUCCGCUCAGCCAUAUGGAGAAAAUAUUAUGGUUCCGUCAUCACCAUGUGUUGCCUUGCAUCUGGUGUUGGUGGCUUUUGCGAUGGAGCGGUCAAGUAAACGGCUAACGCUGGUGUCUGUGUGUUGCUGAGCAGUCGUAUUCGUCCGUGGCUGUGAUGAGGCAAUGCGGUAGGGUCUGCACGUAUGCCUUCUCGUGUAUGGCUUAAGACUUAAUGAGCCCAUUCAGUGUGGGGACGCCAGCAAAACCUUUUUUUCCACAUUUUUUUUAUGCUAUGAAAGCAAACAAACGAAAAAUUCUAGUCUUAUCGGUGGAUCACUCGGCUCGUAGGUCGAUGAAGAACGCAGCUAACUGCGAUAAAUAGUGUGAACUGCAGAAACCUUGAACACAAAAGCUUCGAAUGCACAUUGCACCAUGGGAGUCUUAUCCCUUGGUAUGCCUGGUUCAGGGUCGUAAACCCUAAAACGCAUAGAUAUGCGUGAAAAAUGAUAAGAUCACUCGAUUGACACCCACAGAGUGUUCUUGUAACUCGAAAAUGUGUCGUGUAAUUGGCGUGUUGUGAGGUGGACACCUCGGCUUUGUAUGUGGACAUACAAACCAUAGCUAGGGUGGACAUCGGUGGGGACAUCUCGAAUCACUUCAGGCCAGUGUGCUGUGAAUAAGCGCACGACAUAAAUUUGCGUGUGUAUACAUCACAAAGUCCAACGCCUUCUGGACUACGUGUUCUCAAGUGUGUGUACACCCAAAAAUAAAUUCGCAUUUUCGACCUGAACUCAGAGAUGACUACCCGCUGAACUUAAGCAUAUCAGUAAGCGGAGGAAAAGAAACUAACAAGGAUUCCCUUAGUAACGGCGAGUGAAA
rnacentral:rRNA from 1 species